rnacentral:misc_RNA from 1 species
AGGGUUUCCAGUUUCCUCUCUGCUAGAAAGCGAAUUACAGCAAAUCGCUCUCUCUAUCAUCAGAAUUCUGAACGAAAAUGGAUGGGCAUGACGGUGAUAAUACAAAACAAAGCACUGCUGAUAUGACUGUGUUUGUCCAGAAUCUUCUACAGCAAAUGCAAACCAGAUUCCAGACAAUGUCCGAAUCAAUCAUCUCAAAAAUUGACGAAAUGGGAAACCGAAUUGAUGAACUUGAACAGAGCAUCAACGAUUUGAGAGGUGAAAUGGGUCAAGAUGGUGCUCCAUCGCCUUCCGCAUCUUUGAAACCAAAGGAGGAAGCAAAGCCAGCAGAUGAUUCUAGUGCAUAAGCAAGCAAUGAUACUCCAAGUUGGCUUUGGAGUCAAUUGGCCAUGUUUGUUACAAUUGUUUUGGUUUGAAAAUCUUUUCACAUUUGUCCAUUAUGACAUUUGAUUAUAAUAUGAUACAUAAACUCUGUACAUGGAUUCUUG